rnacentral:rRNA from 1 species
AUUGAACGCUGGCGGCAUGCUUUACACAUGCAAGUCGAACGGUAACAGGUCUUCGGAUGCUGACGAGUGGCGAACGGGUGAGUAAUGCAUCGGAACGUGCCCAGUCGUGGGGGAUAACGCAGCGAAAGCUGCGCUAAUACCGCAUACGAUCUAGGGAUGAAAGCGGGGGACCGUAAGGCCUCGCGCGAUUGGAGCGGCCGAUGUCAGAUUAGGUAGUUGGUGGGGUAAAGGCCCACCAAGCCAACGAGCUGUAGCUGGUCUGAGAGGACGACCAGCCACACUGGGACUGAGACACGGCCCAGACUCCUACGGGAGGCAGCAGUGGGGAAUUUUGGACAAUGGGCGCAAGCCUGAUCCAGCAAUGCCGCGUGCAGGAAGAAGGCCUUCGGGUUGUAAACUGCUUUUGUACGGAACGAAACGGCUCUCUCUAAUACAGAGGGCUAAUGACGGUACCGUAAGAAUAAGCACCGGCUAACUACGUGCCAGCCGCCGCAGUAA